CUUUAAUGAAGUUUUCGGAUGGAUUUAGAACAGCUUAGUGGCGGACGGGUGAGUAACGCGUGGGUAACCUGCCUCACACAGGGGGAUAACACUUGGAAACAGGUGCUAAUACCGCAUAAGACCACAGGGGUGCAUGCUCCAGGGGUCAAAGGAGCAAUCCGGUGAAGGGUGCGUUCGCGUCCAAUUAGCUAGUUGGUGAGGUAACGGCCCACCAAGCCGACGAUCGGUAGCCGACCUGAGAGGUUGAACGGCCACAUUGGGACUGAGACACGGCCCAGACUCC
rnacentral:rRNA from 1 species